rnacentral:rRNA from 1 species
UACGUAGGGGGCAAGCGUUGUCCGGAAUCAUUGGGCGUAAAGAGCGUGUAGGAGGCUCGGUAAGUCCGCUGUAAAAGUCCAGGGCUCAACCCUGGAAAGCCGGUGGAAACUGUCGAGCUAGAGUCCGGAAGAGGCGAGUGGAAUUCCUGGUGUAGCGGUGAAAUGCGCAGAUAUCAGGAGGAACACCAAUGGCGAAGGCAGCUCGCUGGGACGGUACUGACGCUGAGACGCGAAAGCGUGGGGAGCAAACAGG